GAAUAUGAUGAGGAAACUCAGCCUGUGUCGUAUUUGACCCCUGUCUCCAUUUUGUUGUGCAUCUUCGGAUCCUUGCUCUUGCUUACUGGACUGAUUUUCUUCAAGAAACACAAAGCCUUGAAACAUGAGACCGUCACAGAUCCAACCAGAGCUACUUAUGCUGUUGUCAACAAACCAAGGAGGAGAAACGGUGGAGAAACCAGAACAGACGACCAAGUCACGUAUGCAUCCAUUGAUAUCAGACCCACAGGGCGGGAAGUUUGUACAGAUCCCUUCAGACAAUAUUCACAGGAACCAAUCUAUUCUCUUGUCAAUAAAUAAUCUGCAUGCCUUUUUCAAAUAAUACUUCAAGAAAACACCAGAAAUUAGUAAAUUCACUAAGUUACACUCAUCUUGUCUCUUAAGCUUAGAAAAUAAUGAAGAACAUAAUGACUGACAAUAAUGAAGACAGACAUUUAUAAAUGUUGAUUGUUUCAAAAUACAACCUCAUGCAGUAUUCAGUGGAACGUCCAAUGUUUGUAUUUGUGUAAUUUGAAGUUAUUUUUAUGAUCUGCUGAACAAAUUUUUUUUUUCAAUCUCAUUCAAGAGCAUUUCAGAAAUAAAGAAAAGCAGGUUAUAAAGUUUAGAGUUUUGAUUUUCAUAUAUGUCAAUUCAAAGAAAAGUUUAAUUACAGAAAGUAUAUGACUCUUAAGGUUUCAGCAGGUAUUGAUGUAUUUUUUUCUUCUUCUAUGGUGUCAUUGAAAAGUGGUUCCACUAAAUUGAAGGGAAACUCUUUUGUUUCCACGAAUGCGAGGCAAGAUUUUGGGAAGCGGGAUUCUUUGCUCUUAUAUUGACCUGCAAAGAAUCGUUCACCAGAUGAAAAUCUGUUUCAGUUCUUUUUUAAAAAGUUCUCCACUAUUAGAUUUUUGUUCCACUUCCUCUGAUGAUGGAGAUCUUCCAUUAUUGUGGUUUUAAGACAUGACCCCACUGUCAUGAGAGCAGGCCCCCAGAUAUUACAACUGAUUAUGAAAAUAUUGCCAAAAGCAAAGUUUUAGCAGAAUUGUUGCAGAAUAUAUAACAUUUACAUAUGUUAUAAAUACAUUCAAAUAUAAAACAAUAUUUGAAUUUUUAAAAAAUGUCUGUUUAAAAGUGAGAAAAUUAAGCGGAUAUAGAUCUAUAAUAGAUUUUCUUUUAGCAUUAUGAAAAUCAAUCUGUUCUCAGAUCAUAUAAAACCAAUCUGGAAAGGUGUACCUCAGGGCUCAUCUUUAGCACCUCUCCUUUCUCUGUCAGAGUUUCUCAUUCACUUCUCUGUCAUUUCAGUCUGAUACUUUAUGUAUAUGAGAAAACAUCAGUUUAAACUAUUUGGAUUCAUUUUAAACUAUUUCAAAACUUGUUAUAUGGUGUGAAGUAGAGACUUGAUUAAGCUCACCUUUUGUUAUGUUACUUUUAACUAUGGAAGAGGGCUGAAUAUUUACAGAAAGAAAAGAUUUAUAGGUUUAAGGCUCAAUUACUGUAAAACUAUUUUUCAAUGUGAACUGCUAAACAAAGUUUACUCUGAAACUGAGACUGACAUUGUGGAAUAAUUUUAUUAAGUAGCCACUUUAACUAUCUGAAUUAAAGGAGGGAAAGACCACACACACACACACACACACACACACCCCUCCACACAUCUGCU